GGGGAGGCCAGCCUCAGCUGUCUGAAGGAUGGAGGGGCUGGGGAAGCAGGGCUAGGUGCCCAGACGGCCGCGUGUGUGGGAGGGGAUGUCCUCAGAUGCCCUCCACCCGGCAGUCCCCGCUCUGACGUGGGUGCCCCCCUCUCCCCGCCCGGAUUAGUGGCAGCUUGGCCUGACUCUCCGGGGCUCCUUCCCCCGCCCCCGCCUGCUGCCCUCCCCUGGGCAGGGGGCUGCUCCGCCCGAGGGGCACUUGUGCUUGCCCAGGGUGCUGGAGGAGGAAACCGGCGGAGCAGCUUCCCCACUCUCAGUUGCGCGUCUGGCGAUGGCGAUCAGAGGUCCUGCUGCGCUCUCCGCCGGGCUCUCCCUCCAUUAGCCGCGCUGCGCCGUGUUGCGCCCCCGCUGGUGCCUCUCUCCCGGGUCGCGGGAUCGGCCCCUCUUCCAGGCACGACCCCUUCCCCCCGGCCCCUCGGCCUUUCCCCCAUCUCGGUCAUCUCCGACCCGGGGCGCGAGUUCCCCCCGGCCCGGCUCCCUCUCUCCCUCCGGGGGCACCCGCUCCCUAGCCCCGGCCCGGUCCUCCCCGCGGCGCAGCACGGAGUCUCGGCGUCCCAUGGCGCAACCCACGGCCUCGGCCCAGAAGCUGGUGCGGCCGAUCCGCGCCGUGUGCCGCAUCCUGCAGAUCCCGGAGUCCGACCCCUCCAACCUGCGGCCCUAGAGCGCCCCCGCCACCCCGGGGGAAAGAGAGCGCGAGCGCGCUGAGCCGACGGCGGAGAACGAGUUCUUGCCAGCCAGCCGGGAGGCCCCGGAGUCAGCCCAUGGGGAGAGGGCGCCCGGCGUCGGCCACCACGACCGUCGCCGCCCGCGCCACGCCCGGCCAGUGAAGCCCAGGUAAGCGCUGAGACCGGAGCCAGGAGCGCACCUUCUGGGGACGCCCGCAAUAGCGCGUUUCUGAGCCGAGCCCGCGCCGCACGCAGGGAGUGAGCCCCCUCUUGCUCUCUGGCUGGGCCACACCUCUGAAAGUUAGGAUGCCCGUCGGGGCUGGACCGCGUUGGAGCAGUGGCCCCAGAAAACCUGAGCGCCCUCUGCCACUGGCUCCCUGAGUUCCCCCACCUCCUUCCUGGGGCUUGACCCAGUGUGCCGCCGCCGCCGCCCAGGGAGAGCGCCAUGGCUCUGAUGCCACCUGUCACCCUGGUCCUUUGCACGCACAGGUUCAAUUUUCCCUCCUUUGCCUCUCUCUGGGGCCCAGCCCGCUUUCCCCGCCUCCUCCCCUCGCCCCCCCUUCCCGCGCUCCCGGCUGCAGUUACCAGCGUCCACCAGCGGCCCUGGCACUGCUGGCUGGACUGGGGCAUCUUGACCUAUCCCAGAGGAGGCCUCUUCACAGCCCUCUCCUGUGCUGGCUCACUCCUUCCUUAGGCGGCAGAGUUGGAGAUCCCAGCCCCCAGCAGUUAUCCUGGGCUCUGCCUCAGAAGCCAAGAAACUGUUAUAGCGCUGAGAAGAGGCAGACUCGGUGCCGCCCAGGUGUAGGGAGCAAUUCCAGCCAGCGGCCCGGCGUGGUGGCUCACUCCAGUGACACCAGCCUGCCCGUUAGCAUUUCCCACCCAAACAAGCUCGUGUGGGGCUGGGGCUGGGGGUGGGGGAGCAGCACCCCCAGGAGCACAGCCAGCAGUGUGGGAAGAGGCCUCUGAGACUGCCCCUUCCCCCGCCCUGUUUUACACAAGUGUGCAGGAAGGCCCAGAGGAGUGACAUGACUGGCCCAAGG
ensembl:lncRNA